rnacentral:rRNA from 1 species
UACAGAGGGUGCGAGCGUUGUUCGGAAUUAUUGGGCGUAAAGGGCGCGUAGGCGGUGCGGUAAGUCACCUGUGAAAUCUCCUGGCUCAACUGGGAGCUUGCAGGCGAAACUGCCGUGCUGGAGUGUGGGAGAGGUGCGUGGAAUUCCCGGUGUAGCGGUGAAAUGCGCAGAUAUCGGGAGGAACACCCGUAGCGAAGGCGGCACUCUGGGCCGUGACUGACGCUGAGGAGCGAAAGCGUGGGGAGCAAACAGG